UAGGGAAUCUUCCGCAAUGGACGCAAGUCUGACGGAGCAACGCCGCGUGAGUGAAGAAGGAUUUCGGUUCGUAAAACUCUGUUGUUAGAGAAGAACAGCGCAUAGAGUAACUGUUAUGCGUGUGACGGUAUCUAACCAGAAAGCCACGGCUAACUACGUGCCAGCAGCCGCGGUAAUACGUAGGUGGCAAGCGUUGUCCGGAUUUAUUGGGCGUAAAGCGGGCGCAGGCGGUCAAUUAAGUCUGAUGUGAAAGCCCCCGGCUCAACCGGGGAGGGUCAUUGGAAACUGGUUGACUUGAGUGCAGAAGAGGAGAGUGGAAUUCCAUGUGUAGCGGUGAAAUGCGUAGAUAUAUGGAGGAACACCAGUGGCGAAGGCUACUCUCUGGUCUGUAACUGACGCUGAGGCUCGAAAGCGUGGGUAGCAAACAGG
rnacentral:rRNA from 1 species